rnacentral:rRNA from 1 species
AAAUAAAAAUUAAUAAUUUAUAUUAUAAUAAAAAUAAUUUUAAUAUUAAAAUAUGGGGGGUUUAAGUAUUUUAAUAGAAAAAAUAAAAAAAUUUAUAAUAAAUUAGUAUAGUAAUAGAAAUUUGAAAUAAAAUGAAAAUAAAAUUAUUUAAAAGUAAAUUUAAUUUAUUGUAUCUUGUGUAUCAGAGUUUAUUAAAUAAUUUAUAAAGAUUAAUAUAUCUCGAAUUUAAAAGAGUUAAUUAAUUAAUAAAUUUAAUGUAAAAUAAUUAUUUUAAAUAAUUAAUUAGAAAUGAAAUGUUAAUCGUUUUUAAAUAUAUCUAGUUAUUUUAGAAAAAAAUUUAAUUUUAAAUUUAUUAUUUAUUUAAAUUAAUUAAUUAAUUUAAAUAAAUAAUAAAUUUUAUAAUUUAAGGGAUAAGCUUUAAAUUAAAAUAAUUAUAAAAUAAAAUUAAAAUAUUUAAAAUUUUUAAAAUUUAUAUUGUUUAAAAAUUAAAAUUUUUUAUAAAAAAUUUUAAAAUAAAUAAAAUUUAAUUUAAAUUUAAUUUUUUAUAAAAAUAUAAUUUUUAAUAAGAAAUAAUUAAAAAUAAUGAUAAAAUUAGUAUAAAUAAAUGAAAUAUUAUAAAUAUAAUAAUUUGAAUAAUUAAAUAAAAGGAAUUCGGCAAAAUUUUAUAUUCACCUGUUUAACAAAAACAUGUCUUUUUGAUUUAAUUUAAAGUCUAAUCUGCCCACUGAUUAUAAUUAAAGGGCUGCAGUAAUUUGACUGUACAAAGGUAGCAUAAUCAUUAGUCUUUUAAUUGGAGACUUGUAUGAAAGAUUUGAUGAAAUAUAAACUGUCUCUUAAUUAUUAUUAAAAUUUAAUUUUUUAGUUAAAAAGCUAAAAUAAUUUUAAAAGACGAGAAGACCCUAUAGAGUUUUAUAAUUUAUAUUAUGAAAUAUUUAUAUAAAAUUUUAAUAUUUCAUAAUAUAAAUUAUUUUAUUGGGGUGAUAAAAAAAUUUAAUUAACUUUUUUUUUAUAUUUAUUCAUAAAUAAAUGAUUUAUUGAUCCAAAAUAAUGAUUAUAAGAAAAAAUUACCUUAGGGAUAACAGCGUAAUAUUUUUUUUUAGUACAAAUAAAAAAAAAAGUUUGCGACCUCGAUGUUGGAUUAAAAUAAAAUUUAAAUGUAAAAGUUUAAAAUUUUGAUCUGUUCGAUCAUUAAAAUCUUACAUGAUCUGAGUUCAAACCGGGGUAAGCCAGGUUGGUUUCUAUCUUUAAAAUAAUAAAAUAUUUUAGUACGAAAGGACCAAAUAUUUAAAAUAAUUUUUUUUUUUAGAAUAUUAAUAAUAAAAUAAAUAAUUAUAUGCAUAUAUUAUAUAUAUAUAUAUAUAUAUAUAUUAUUUAUAUA